rnacentral:tRNA from 1 species
GCCUCUGUAGCUCAGUGGCAGGGAAUCCGUCUCGUAAACAGAAGGACUGUGGUUCAAUUCCGCUUAGAUGCA